rnacentral:rRNA from 1 species
AGCCUUGUCCGGAUUUAUUGAGAGUAAAGCGAGCGGCAGGCGGUUUGAUAGGUUGGAUGUCAAAGGCAAUGGCUCAACGCUCACCUUGUCGCACCAAACUGCAGACUUGAGUGCAGGAGAGGAGAGUGGAAUUCCAUGUGUAGCGGUGAAAUGCGUAGAUAUAUGGAGGAACACCAGUGGCGAAGGCGGCUCUCUGGCCUGUAACUGACGCUGAGGCUCGAAAGCGUGGGGAGCGAACAGGAUUAGAUACCCUGGUAGUCCACGCCGUAAACGAUGAGUGCUAAGUGUUGGAGGGUUUCCACCCUUCAGUGCUGCAGCAAACGCAUUAAGCACUCCGCCUGGGGAGUACGACCGCAAGGUUGAAACUCAAAGGAAUUGACGGGGCCCGCACAAGCGGUGGAGCAUGUGGUUUAAUUCGAAGCAACGCGAAGAACCUUACCAGGUCUUGACAUCCUUCUGACCGCACUAGAGAUAGUGUUUCUCUUCGGAGCAGAAGUGACAGGUGGUGCAUGGUUGUCGUCAGCUCGUGUCGUGAGAUGUUGGGUUAAGUCCCGCAACGAGCGCAACCCUUAUGUUUAGUUACCAUCAUUGAGUUGGGGACUCUAGACAGACUGCCGGUGACAAACCGGAGGAAGGUGGGGAUGACGUCAAAUCAUCAUGCCCCUUAUGACCUGGGCUACACACGUGCUACAAUGGGGAGUACAACGAGCAGCGAACUAGUGAUAGUAAGCGAAUCUCUGAAAGCUCCUCUCAGUUCGGAUUGUAGGCUGCAACUCGCCUACAUGAAGCCGGAAUCGCUAGUAAUCGCGGAUCAGCACGCCGCGGUGAAUACGUUCCCGGGCCUUGUACACACCGCCCGUCACACCACGAGAGUUUGUAACACCCGAAGUCGGUGAGGUAACCUUUUAGGAGCCAGCCGCCGAAGGUGA